CUGUGACUUAUCUGUAUGGAACUUUCCUGCAUACACACCUUGUCUCAGAUGAUGGGAAUACCUAGUGUAUGGGGGUGUUGACCCAUUACCUGGGAUAUCCCAGAAAUAGCUGUAAGACAUUAAUUACUUCUACUUCUCUAUUUUUGAUUCACUUUAA